GACAGAGGGUGCAAACGUUGUUCGGAAUUACUGGGCGUAAAGCGUGUGUAGGCGGUCCUAUAAGUCGGGUGUGAAAGCCCAGGGCUCAACCCUGGAAGUGCACUCGAAACUGUGGGGCUAGAGUACUGGAGAGGUUGGUGGAAUUCUCGGUGUAGAGGUGAAAUUCGUAGAUAUCGAGAGGAACACCGGUGGCGAAGGCGGCCAACUGGACAGAUACUGACGCUGAGACACGAAAGCGUGGGGAGCAAACAGG
rnacentral:rRNA from 1 species